rnacentral:lncRNA from 1 species
UUUCUGGCAGUACGCCGCGGGUACAGAAAACAGACCAAGGAUCCUCUUUGCGUUCUGUGGCGGCGGGCCACAAAGUUUACCUAGUGCGAGAUUUUAUGUUUUCACGUAUCCAAAAUGCCCCGUAAAAGAGUCCCAAAAACUGAUUGUUCAAGUCGAGAUAUAUCUUUAUAUAAAUCUGCAUAUGCAGAGCUCAAAAAUUGAAGUUCUCUACGCUUAGCUGCCGACCAAUUUGGAAUCUCUCAUGUGUCUUUGUUGAGAUACAAGCGAAAGAAAGUAGCUGCGGGGAAUACUGAAGGUCAACCACCUGUUACAAUGGGCUAUAAACCUGCAAAUAAAGUUUUUAAUGAACUUCAAGAAACCGAAAUGGUAAAGUACAUAAAAAAAGCUGCAGACAUUUAUCAAGGUCUGUCAACUAAAGAUAUUCGGAGACUUGCGUUAGAAUUAACCAUUAAAUAUGAUAUAGAUAAACCGGAUAUAGACACUUGGAUUAAAAACGGCAUGGCUGGAGAAGACUGGUUUUCCGGUCUUAUGUCAAGACACCGUGACUUAUCAAUAAGAGCACCAUAAGCAACCAGCUUAGCCAGAGCAACCAGCUUGCAAACAAUUGUGCAAAUGUUUCUGUAUUUGUUAAUAAUCUUGCCAAAGUUUUGGAUCGAGACACAUUUGAAGCAAAGGAUAUUUACAACGUAGACGAAACUGGUGUGACAACAGUCCAGAAACCAAAUCGAAUUGUAGCAAAAAGAGGCAUGGAACAAGUGGGUGCAAUUACCUCACAAGAACGUGGUACACUCGUCAACAGUUACGGUGGCAAUAAACGCACUAGGCAAUUCGAUUCCGCCCAUGUUUAUUUUUCCUCAACUGCGGUUUCAGGAUCAUUUUAUUUGUGAUGGUCCACCAGGGUGUAUUGGGGCUGGAAACGGGUCAGGAUGGAUGCAAGAAAAAGAGUUCGUCUUGUUCUUAAAACACUUUCAAAAGCACACAAAUUCUUCACAAGCUCAUAAGGUUCUACUCACACUGGAUAGCCACUCAUCCCAUAUUAGUAUAGAAGCUGUAGACUAUUGUAAAACUCAUGGAAUAGUAAUGCUUUCUUUCUCACCCCACUGCUCACAUAAAUGUCAGCCCCUCGAUAGAACAGUUUUUGGUCCUCCUAAGAAAGCAAUAAACUCCGCUUGUGAUGGUUGGAUUCGUAGUCACCCUGGUAAACCGAUGUCUAUAUAUGAUUUACCCGGAAUUGUCGCAACAUCAUUGCCCUUAGCUCUUACACAAAGCAAUAUCCAAGCCGGAUUUAAGUGUACAGGGAUAUAUCCUUUUAACAGAGAUAUUUUUACGGAAACAGAUUUCUCGCCUCCAAUCGAACCUUCAGUUUCACCUGCUUUAGAUCCAGGCAACAAUCUGAAUCUGACAGAUCCUACUUUGGAAGAUACAUUUGAUAAUCCUACCUCAUCUACAUCUGUUACCAAUAGGUUGCCUUCAACCGAACCUCCAAAUGAUAAUCCUAGUUCAAAUCCAGGAAACAAUCUGACUGUAUCAACCUUAGAAGAUGAGUUUCAAAACCCAACGCCAUCAACUUCUCGGGGCCUAAAAAAUUGUGAAAUUUCAUGAAACGAAAAUUCGAAAACACCCAAAAUAACACGUUUUCACCAGAAGUUGCUAGGCCUUUCGGAAAAGCUUCACCAAGAAAAAUAAACGGAAGAGGAAAGACAAAGAGGAAGUCAACCGUGUACACCGAUACACCGGAAAAGGAGGAAAUAGAGAGAGAAGCUAAUAAGAAAACACAAAAGGUCAAACGGAAUCUGGAAACCGAAAAGAAAAUCCAAAAAAAAGCACCCGUGAGAACAAGAAAGAAGUUAUCUGAAAAUUUUACCGACGACGAAAGUGAAUGUGAUUGGUGUGUGUUGAACCAUUUAAUAAAAGUAAGCCAGGUAAACAGUGGAUCUGAUGUACUAACUGCAAAAUGUGGUCGCACGAAGCAUGCACACCACAAGAGCUCACAUAUAAUGUUUGCCAUAAUUGCCAAAGGGACUGACCAAAAAUUGAAAGUUAAGUGUUACACAUCUAUAUUAUAAGAACUACCAGUUGUUGUUUUUUGUUUUUAAACUUUUUUCUAAGUUUUAUUUUAUGUUCCUACGUUUCUGUUUAAUGUUAAUUUUUUACAGUUUCUAUAUGAUUUUGAGUCUUUUUUGAAUAAUAAAAGAAAAUAAAAAGAAA